UACGAAGGGUGCAAGCGUUGCUCGGAAUUAUUGGGCGUAAAGGGUAGGUAGGUGGUGACGUAUGUCUGAGGUGAAAGCCCUGAGCUUAACUCAGGAAGUGCCUUGGAAACGGCGUCACUAGAGUACUGGAGAGGGUUCGUAGAAUUCCCGGUGUAGCGGUGAAAUGCGUAGAGAUCGGGAGGAAUACCAGAGGCGAAGGCGGCGAACUGGACAGUUACUGACACUCAACUACGAAAGCGUGGGGAGCAAACAGGG
rnacentral:rRNA from 1 species